AUUGGAACCAUUACAAUCACCAACAAACGAACAAGCAAUUGGAUUCUUAGACUCGAAGAUGAGUUUGGCUGUGACAUCUUACAUCGAUCAGCUACUUACAUUUCCAAUUAGCGUGCGGCAGCAUCACGUUUCUUCCACCGCUUUCUCAUCUCUGUCAUCAUUCAUCGAUCAGCUUGAGCUGCCUGCAGUACUAUCUCAGCUCUCCUCGACCUAAUCGCGUUGCCUUUGUCAAAGAAGCGAGGAGGCGGAGGAGGAGGAGGAGGAGGAAAGGAAGACUUCCGCCAUGGUGCUUCCUUUUCUGGUGCAUUCCACCGCAUCAACAACCCACCCACACAAAGGCAGGCGCACCUCGCUGCACUUGGAGAGAUCAACGGGGUGGUGGUUGUGAUGAUCUCUCGAGUUUCUCUUCUACCACCGUUGGGAAGAGCUCACCGCAGCUAUUCAUUAUCAACAAUUGGACAGAGGAAAAGCUCAUUUCACAUAUCAUUGUACUGUGAAGAGAGAGAGCGAGAGAGAGAGAGAGAGAGAGAGAGAGAGAGGUGCAAAGUUAUUAUAGAAAAAGAUUGAGAGAAAAAGGAAAAGAAGGAUUCAUUUCCAGGGAGGGUUAGACUUGUUCUUAUUAUUGCUUGCUUCUUCUUCUAGAAAAUUCCGACGAUUCCGACUCGGACACACCACAUCGCCAUUGAACCCUUCCAGAAUAGCAUCGAAGAGUUCGGUUUCUCGCAUCAAAAAUUGGUUUUGGCCAUCCGAAGAAGCACGAGCGAGAGGAAGAGGAGGAAAGGUCGGACCUUUGCGCGGAUUACUCGAAGGCGUCGCCUGAUUGGCGAUCGGUUCUGGUGUAAAGGUUGUUCCAUUUGGGUGCUUGAUCUUGAAAGUUGAAACCACGCGGUGUCUUUCGGCCUCUCGGUCAGAUGGGGACUUCGUGGCUCAUUUGAAAAUGGAGCGGAUCGAUCGAGGUUGUGGAUGAGGAGGUGGUUUCUUGGUUGAUCUUUCGAUGGAAGGAUGCGAUUUGCCCUAAUCUUGAAGGGGCAAGGAUGCUUUGACUUCCCGAUCUGGUGGUGGUGUUUGGCUGAUAGGGAUGGAAGGCUCUCGGGGGAGCUCGAAUUCCCCUCCCCCGUUCCUCACGAAGACAUACGAGAUGGUGGACGACCCGUCGACGAACUCCAUCGUUUCAUGGAGCCCCUCAAACACGAGCUUCGUCGUGUGGAAUCCGCCGGAGUUUGCUAGGGAUUUGCUUCCCAAGUAUUUUAAGCACAACAAUUUCUCCAGCUUCGUCAGGCAGCUCAACACUUAUGGUUUCAGAAAAACAGACCCUGAUCAAUGGGAGUUCGCAAAUGACGAUUUCAUACGAGGACAAAGGCACCUCUUACAAAACAUUUACAGACGCAAGCCGGUGCAUAGCCAUUCGCUGCACAACCAAGGCAACACUUCGGAAGCUGAAAGACAGGAGCUUGAAGAGGAAAUUGAGAGGCUUAAGCAAAAAAAGGGUACACUUUUGAAUGAGUUUCAGAAGCAGACACAGCAGCGGCAUGGAAUGGAGCACCAAAUGCAGUCCUUAGAGGAUAGAUUGCAGGUUUUGGAAAACCGACAGAGAAGCCUCAUGGACUUCUUGGCACAAAUCAUACAGAAACCCGGGUUCCUUUCUAACAUUGUACAAUUCUCUGAUCUUCGUAGCAAGAAAAGGAGAUUGCCAAAGAUCGAUUUUCUAAGUGAGGAUGCUAUAAUGGAAGAUAACCAGAUCGCGUCUUUUCAGCCUGUUGCAAGAGAAAAGUCUGACAUUCUUCCUAUGUAUGCACUCGACAUGGAGCCAUUUGAGAAGAUGGAAUCAUCGUUGAAUUCAUUGGAAAAUUUCUUCAAAAGUGUUAGUCAAGCUUCUGGUGACGAUGUCUGCUAUGAUAGUAUCGUGCCAUGCCUGCCCUCUAAUGUGAUUCUUGAUGAGAUGAAUGCAUCAUCCGGGGAGACUGAUGUGAAUUUGCAAUUGCUGUUUCCUAAACUGCAUCCUCCUUCACCUUGCCCGGGAGAUAUUCAUUCAUCUCCAGAGGUAGCAGAAUCCACUAGUGAUGCAGAAACGUCUGUUAUUCCUGCAACCGAAAUACAAACAGAUUCACAAAGCAAGGUUUCUAAGAUAGACAUGAAUUUAGCACCUGCUGCCAUAGAUAUUGAUUCGUCAAGAGGUCAAACUACCGGAACUGUGGCACCGACAGGGGCAAAUGAUGUGUUCUGGGAACAGUUUCUUACGGAGAUCCCAGGUUCUUCUGAGACAAAGGAAGUCCAGUCAAAAAGAAGAGAUUUAGAUGACAAACAAAGUCAAGGAGAGUUGGGAGAGCGAGGAAACACAUGGUGCGACGGGAAAAAUGUUGAUCACCUUGCAGGAAAGAUGGAAAAUCUCACUUCAGCAGAUUAAACUUGAUUACUGUCUGUUCUGCAGAGUCCAGGGUGUUCUCAAGAGUGUCUUUGUGCUGGGGAGCCCCAGCGUGUUUGAUUUUUCACUCGGCUACAGAACCAGAUAUAGCAAAGGAUGCUCUUGUCUCCUACUGCGAAGUGCCAUUGAAUUGUUCGUGGUGAUUACCUGAUAUUGUUUGCAGAUAAGGAUUUCCCCACAUUGCAGGAGUACAGCAUCACGAAAGCAUAAUGCAAUCUUCAUCGCUUGCCGGCGCCAGAGAGGGAAAGAUUGUUCUAGUCACUUGGCCUUGUUUUGCUUAUUCCAAAUGGGCAUUCCGCUUGCUAGUUCUCCCUGUUGCUUCCACUCAAACAUUUUAUAAUGCUUAUCAGUCUUGGAAUCAGACUUUCCUUUUUUGGGGGAUAGAUACCAAAGUUAAAUAAAUGUUAAUUAGUUGAGUUGUUAUAGUCAUCAUAAUGAUGGGAGCCAUAGUGAUUGCUGCAUGAUGCAGAGUGUGCAUGGUGCAAGACUCUGUUCUAUGUGGUGAUAAUUGAUUGUAAUUGUGUGUUCCACAUUGAGUCAUACACCUGUGAGCUGGUCAUGGUUGAAGAAUACCUGUGUUGGAAAUGUAUUGUAUUGUGCA